rnacentral:other from 1 species
CGGGCCCUGCCGUGUACGUGAUGUCACUUGAGUUUUGAGCCAACACUCAAUACUCAGGAUGUCUAAACCGCCGCAGCGUGGUAGCCGGCGCAUACCCACGGGGUCCAUGGGGCGCCACGGGGCCGGAAUCGCAAUGCGGUUGGAGCGGCAUCCGCCCGUGCUGCUACGGGUUCAAAAACUGAAGGACACACGGCACGGCGGGGACGUA